UACGUAGGGUACUAGCGUUAAUCGGAAUUACUGGGCGUAAAGCGUGCGCAGGCGGUUCGGAAAGAAAGAUGUGAAAUCCCAGGGCUUAACCUUGGAACUGCAUUUUUAACUACCGGGCUAGAGUGUGUCAGAGGGAGGCGGAAUUCCGCGUGUAGCAGUGAAAUGCGUAGAGAUGCGGAGGAAUACCGAUGGCGAAGGCAGCCCCCUGGGAUAAUACUGACGCUCAUGCACGAAAGCGUGGGGAGCGAACAGG
rnacentral:rRNA from 1 species